rnacentral:misc_RNA from 1 species
AAGGAAAAGAGAACAAGAGGAAGAAAGGAAGAGGGAAGAAGAAGAAAGAAAGAGGGAAGCAGAGGAAGAAAAGGAAAGGGAGAGGGAGGAAGAAAAGGAAAGGAGGAGAAAGGAAAAGGAAGAAAGGAAGAGAGCACAAAAGAGGCAAAGAGAGGAAAAGAAAAGACAAGAAGCAGCAGCAAGAAGGGUGCAAGAAGAGGCCAGAAGAGAAGAAAUAGAAAGACAAGUGAAACAAAAGGGAAAAGAAGCUAGGAAGGAGAAGGAAAGAGAAAUACAAGGUGGUGAGAGCCAAUCAGAAGAGGAGAAACAGAAAGGAGAAACAGGGGAAGAAGAAGGAGGAGGAACUAGAAAAGAAGAGCAAAAGCGUGAAGGCGGUAGUGGCAGAGGAAGAAGAGUGUGGAAAUUUUGAAGGGUGACCUAAUAGCUGCUGCAUUGGACGAUCCUCAGCUACUUUCUCUGUAGAUGUAGCAAUAAAAGCUCCUUCUACGCUAUGCAGUUUGCCCUGUUUUCCCUCUUUUUAUUCCUUACUAAGCUCUGCGAUCCAUGGAUGGAGAUUGGACAUCAUGUGCACCCUGUAAUGAAUU